CGAGGUGGCCAAUGGUGAGGAGGUGCGGCUUAAGAGGGGGCUAGGGUUUGUUUGCUGAAAAUUUUGAUAGCUAGUGGGCUAGGAUUUGGGCUGGUUUGUUUUGUAUUUUGGGUCUGAAAUGGGUUUUAAAUUGUUGGACCACACAUAUAUUGUAAAUGGACUAAAAAAAUUGGACUUUUUAAUUGUUUAUUUGGGUUUUAUUUUGUUUUAUUGGCCUAGGCCAAAAUUGGCUAUUACAGCCCCUCUUUGCUCAUUGUCAUGUAAUGAGAAUUGAGUAAAGACCUUAAAAGAGCCAAUUUUGCCUAGUCUUAUCGAAUCUUGACUUAUUUGGUGCUUCUGCACUUCGAGUAGACUCAUUCCAUCCCAUUGUAUCUUCAGGGGUAUAGGAAUUAGUGCCUCGAUUCGCCCCAAUUUAAUUUCAAGAAGAAGAGAUUUGUGGCUUUGAUCUACUCCACUGGAACUUCAAAGAGAUAAGACUAGGUAAUUUCAACCUGCUCCAUUGCAUCUUCAGGAAGAUGAGGUUUGCGACUUCAAUCUGCUCCACUGCAAUUUCAGGGAGAUGAGAUUCGCCAUGGUAACUUGAUCCGACCUACUACAACUUCAGAGAUAAGAUUUGCUAUAUUGAGUCUGCUCCACUAUAACUUCAGAGAGAUAAGGCUCUGUAAUCUAUAGCUUUGAUCUACUCUACUGUAACUUCAAAAUUAGAGCUCCUCUAGAGAAAGUCUUCUUCACCACAUAAGGUCCCUCCCAAUUAGGCAUCCAUUUUCCUCUAAAGUCCUUUUGUAUGAGGAGGAUCUUUUUCAAAACAAGGUCUCCUUCAUGGAAUUCUCUAGGGCGAACCUUCUUAUUAUAAGCCCGCAUCAUCCUCUUUUGGUACAUUUGACCACGGCGAAUAGCCUUUAGUCUCUUUUUUUCAAUUAAAUUCAGCUGAUCAUAUCGAGAUUGGAUCCAUUCUGCUUCAUCUAAUUUUAGUUCUGACAGCACUCGUAGCAAGGGAAUCUCAACCUCAAUAGGCAGAACUGCCUCCAUUCCAUAAACUAAAGAGAAAGGCGUUGCCCCGGUAGAGGUUUUAACGGAUGUUUGGUAGGUGUAGAGGGCGAAUGUUAAUUUCUCAUGCCAAUUCUCAUAAGUCUCAGUCAUUUUCCCCACGAUUUUCUUAAUGUUCUUAUUUGCCGCUUCCGCUACACCAUUCAUCUUUGGACGAUAUGGUGACGAGUUAUGGUGUUUGAUCUUGAAUUGGCUACAAACCUCCGCUAUCGUGCUAUUGUUUAAGUUCAGUGCAUUAUCCGAUAUGAUUCUCUCAGGCAUCCCAUAUCGACAUAUGAUUUCUUUCUUUAAGAACUUGCUAACUGCUGACUUUGUGACGUUGGCAUAGGAGGUGUCCUCUACCCAUUUGGUGAAGUAAUCUAUGACCUCAAAGAUGAAUCGAUGUCCAUUAGAUGCUUUCGGCGAGAUCGGCCCUAUGACAUCCAUGCCCUACAUGGAGAAAGGCCACAGAGAAGUCAUGGCAUGAAGAGGUUAAGAAGGUACAUGAAUCUUAUCUCCAUAAAUUUGGCACUUAUGGCACUUUUUUGGCAUAGUUGAUGCAAUUCCCUUCCAUAGUGGACCAAUAAUAUCAGAAUCUCAUGAUUUGUCUAGCCAUUGUGAAACCAUUAGCAUGUAUUCCGCAGACACCUUCAUAGACCUCUUCUAAAAUUUACUUAGCCUCGAAAGCAUCUACACAUCUUAGGAGCACCUGAUCUUUGCUUCUUUCAUAUAGGAUCUCUCCAUCCAAAACAUAGUUACUGGCCAACCUUCUCAAUAUCCUUUUAUCAUUUUCAGUCGCUUGGUCUAGGUAUUCACGAUUCUUCACAUAUCGCAAUAUAUCCUGAUACCAAGGAUGAUCAUCUUUUCCUUCUUCUUCGUCAAUGUUGUACCAAUGAGCUGGAGCCUCGUAAAUACUCAUUUGGAUAGGCUUCAUAUCCUCUUGCUCGUUCAUUUUGAUCAUAAAAGCCAAGGUUGCCAAGGCAUCAGCCAUCUGGUUUUCAUCUCGUGGAAGGUAGCAGAAAGUGAUAUCGUCAAACUCCUCGAUUAACUCAAGAACCAGCCUUCGAUAAUUGAUCAACUUGGGGUCUCUUAUUUCCCCUUCGCCUUUAAGCUGAUAGAUCACUAAUGCAGAAUCUCCGUAUACCUCUAAUACCUUGAUCUUACAUUCUAUGGCUACAUGGAUGCCCAUGAUGCACGCCUCGUAUUCCGCCAUGUUAUUUGUGCAGUCAAAAUCCAAUUUACUAGUAAAGGGAUAAUGAUCGCUGUUUGGGAUACCAAAACUGCCCCGAUUUCGUUACCCACAGUAUUUGAAGCUCCGUCAAAAUUCAGUUUCCAAAUAUGGCCUUCUUGAGAGUCUUCUUCCAUGGUUGCAACAUAUAUUAGAUCCUCAUUCGGGAAAUCAAAGCUCAACGGCUCAUAAUUUUCCAGAGCUCUACUGGCCAAAAAAUCUGCUAUCACACUCCCUUUUACAGCCUUUUGGUUCAUGUAGGCUAUGUCAAACUCAGAAAGUAAAAUUUGCCAACAAGCCAUUCUUCCGUUCAGAGCAUUUGACUCCAUCAUGUAUUUUAGAGGGUCUAGUUUUGAGAUGAGCCAAGUAGUGUGGUACAACAUAUACUGUCUCAGCCUUCAGGUUGUCCAAAUCAAAGCACAGUACAACUUCUCGAUCGAUGAAUAUAUUGUCUCACAUUCAGUGAAUUUCUUGCUGAGAUAGUAUAUCGCUUUUUCUUUUUUUCUUGACUCGUCAUGUUGGCCUAGCGCGCAUCCCAUAGAGUUUUCGAAUACUGCCAAAUAUAGUAUCAGUGGUUUAUCCAGGCAAAGUGGCAUUAGUACUAGAGCAUUGGACAGGUAAUGCUUAACCUUAUCAAAAGUUUUCUGGCACUCCUCAUUCUAUACACCUGGGUUGUGUUUCCUAAGGAAAUGGAAUAUCAGGUCACAUUUCUCCGUUAAUUGUGAAAUGAACCGGGCGAUGUAAUUUAGUCUUUCUAGAAAACCUCAAACUUCUUUUUGAGUACGUGGUGGAGGUAAUUCUUGUAUGGCCCUGACUUUAUCUGGGUCAAUCUCAAUCCCCUUUUCACUGACUACGAAUCCUAACAUUUUCCCUGACUUGGCCCUAAAGGUACACUUUGCAGGAUUGAGUUUUAGUUGGAACUUCCUUAACCUUAAGAAUAGUUUUCUCAAGACUUGCACAUGCUCCUUUUCUGUUAUGGAUUUUGCAAUCAUGUUGUCGAUGUAAACUUCGAUCUCCUUGUGCAUCAUAUCAUGGAACAUAGUUACCAUGGCUCUCUGAUAUGCUACUUCUGCGUUUUUCAGUCCGAAUGGUAUAAUCUUAUAACAAAACGUUCCCCACAUGGUUAGGAAUAUGGUCUUUUUCAUGUCUUCAAGAUGUAUUUUUAUCUGGUUGUAUCCCGAGAAGCCAUCUAUGAAUGAGAAAAUUGAGUAAUCUGUCGUGUUAUCCACUAAUGUAUCAAUGUGAGGCAACGAGAAGUUUUCUUUUGGGCUGGCCUUAUUUAAAUCCUGAUAGUCCACGCACAUUCGUACCUUCCCAUCUUUCUUAGGAAUUGGGACUAUAUUGGCUACCCAUUUUGAGUACUUGACCACUUGUAAGAAACCGGUGUCAAAUUUCUUCUUGACCUCUUCUUUUAUCUUCAAUAAAAUAUCGAGUCUCAUCCUUCGGAGUUUCUGUUGAACAGGUUUGCAUUUUUCCUUUAUGGGGAGACGGUGUACCACAAUAUCAGUAUCUAACCCGGGUAUUUCCUGAUACGACCAUGCGAAGACAUCCUUGAAUUCUUAUAAUAACUUAAUAAGGUCUUGUUUUGUCUCUGCAGUGAUACAAGCUCCAAUCUUAACCUCUUUUCCCUCUCCUAAACUCACAAUUUCUACUGACUCUUUAUGAGGUAGUAUUUGUUUCUCAUCUUGUUCUACUAUCCUUAACAAAUCAGGAAAUAGGUUACAAUUUCGGUCAUCUUCAAAAUCCUGAGAAUCCUCUAUGCGCAUAUCUUGCUCAAAAGGAGACUCUAAGUCAGUAGCAACAUUGUUCAUAUCAUUGAUAUAUGGGAACCUAUUAUAGGGAUGAAAAAAAAUCCAAAGAACAAAAGAAUCUAAGAAUAUUUUAUUUGUGUGGUAUGAUUAUGAAUGAAGUAGAAAAAAAUAAAAGAAUAUUUGCUCAAGAUGAUAUGCAAAAAUGCAUUUUAUUGAAAUAAUGAUAUUUGGACAUAUGCCUAUUUCAGAAAAGGGUUUUUAUUGCCCCUAGGCUUAGAGAAAUAAGCUUAUUUUGAACAUUACUCUGAGUUAAUUCUAAAAGUUACAGGGAUCUCUUCCGCAGUCUAAUUGUUCAAAACAAUUCCAGGGAUAUAAAGGCAGAUUCCAGAUAAAUUCCCUUCUUCGAUUCUUUCUUCAGAUAUGGCGUUAAUGCUCAAACUUCCCAACAUUUCUUCAGCCAUUUUCUUUCUUGUCAUCUCCUGUUUGGGGUGGAUAGUUCCUCCUGACACAAAUGUUCUAGAUAAAUGAGGAAAGGUUAUUGGUUCCCAUUUGACCUCCUCACCGCGUAGACGCGCUUUUCUUCUCUCUUGCUUCUUCUCCAGCUGUUUCUUCUUUUGCCUCAUAUCUGGCUUAAAUCCUAAGCCAAAGUGGUCUCAUUUUUCCUUUAGCACAGUAUCUCGAUCCUUUCCUGAAGGCAUCUUCCAAGUCCUCUCCCUAGCAGGGCUCCUUUCUCGACUGUCAAUUAUAGGCCCAUCUCUGUAGUUUUGGAUAUUUUAAGAGUUGGGAUCUUGUUCACUUCGAUAAUGGAUGUAGCAUUGACAAAUUCUAGUGAUUGAAAGGAAUAUUCUAUUGCCUCAUCGUUUGCACCUAUGUACGGUGCGUAACUGGUAACGGAUGCAAUGAUGUCUUCUUCCGCGUUAUCGUUACCAGUCUACCCUCGGUUAUCAACUUUAACUUCUGGUGUAGUGACGAUGGCACUGCUCCCGUAAAGUGAAUCCACGGCAUCCCCAACAAGCAGUUGUACGAAAGCUUGAUGUCCAUCACCAAUAAGUCCACCUCAUAUGUGUUUGGGCCAAUCAAAAGAGGUAUCUCGAUUCUUCCCAUCACCUUUCUUUUAGUACAGUUGAAUGGUCUCACUAUGUUUUGACAUGUCUUAAUGUGGGAGCUAUCUACUGGCAACCUAUUUAGCGUGGACAAGGGCAGGACAUUCAACUCCGAUUCAUUAUCGAUUAGUACCCCCGGCAAUGUGUAUCCCUUGCAGCGAGUGGUGAUAUGCAAGGCCUUUGUGGAUCCCAUACCCUCCAGUGGUAUUUCAUCGUCAUUAAAGAAAAUAAAAUUAUCGGUGCUGAUGUUAUUGACCAAACGAUUGGGCUUGUUGACAGAGAUAUUAUCUGCAAUAUAUGUUUCAUUUAACACUUUUAUUAAUGCACUGCGGUGUGUCUCUGAGCUCAAGAGCAAGGCUAAUACCGAUAUGUGAGCUGGCUGUUUGUGCAACUGUUUCACAACACUAUACUCAUUGUGCUUCAAGAAUUUUAAGAAUUCCUUAGCCUCCUUUUCAGUUACAGGCUCAUUGACAGGUGAUUCAGGUCUGGUUGUCUUUUCCUUUCUUUGUUCAACAACCACGAAUUUACUUUUAACUGGGUCUACCUUUUUGUUCAAGGUAUAACGCCUUCCACCGCGCGUAUAGAAACCCUCAUCUUGACCUUCCUCUGAAGCGCUAGCCGGGUUCUCCUCUCCCGGGAUCGCCACAUUGUAGUCGUAAUUCCAAGUAACCCUUUUGUUAUCCUUGUAAGGAAAGGAUAUAGGUUUCUGGAUUAUGACUCUUGCACCAUUGGUAUUCCUACUUCAUUAUUCCUUGGCCGCGAAAUGAUCACCACAGGGUGAUUAACCUUUUGGACUCUUUCUGUUGAUCCUUCCUUUGAGGCGCAAACCUCUCUUUCUUCUGCCCCUUUGAUUUCUUCGUAAAAUUCUAUCUCUUUAUUGUCCAUCAGACUUUGCACUAUGGAUCUGAACUCAGCGCAUUCUUGGAUGUCAUGACCCUUCUCGUCAUGAAACUUGCAGUAUUUCGUUACCCCUUUAGGCUUCUCCUCUUAAUGUCUUGUGAUUAAACCUCUAUUGACCAUUUGUUUCCAAACUCAACUCAGUGGAGUUUUUACCUCUGAUACCUCUAUCUUGGUUCUCUUCCCUCCAUUUUUAGUUAUCGCGUUUACUCCUUUGUCUGAAUGACUAGGUAACGAAUUUUCUGCUACAUGAGGUCAUGUGAGAUCAUCGAACUUUACAAUGCCCAUCUUUAUAAAUCUUUCAACUAUUUUUUUGAAAGCAGUGCAGUUCUCAAUCGUAUGUCCUGGGAUUCCUGCAUGGUGUUCGAAUUAAACGUUUGUGUCAUACCACUUAGGGAAUAGAUGUUGCAUGAGUUUUAGGUAAAAUGGGGAUACCACAUGCGCAUCGAACAGAUUCUGGUAAAGCUCCCUAUACGUCAUUGGGAUCGGCGUGAACUGAACUCUUUUCGUGUUAGGCCUUGGGUUAGAAUCUUGUCUUUUGGAGCCCUGAUAGCUAGUGGUCACUGCCCUCGGUUGGCUUACAGUGACUGGCUUGGAAUAACCCUUUUGUAUACGCUCGCAUUGUUCACCUCAUUUUCUUUCCUUCUCGAGGCCAAUUUCUUGGCACUUUUCCCCGCUUCAAUCUUCCCGCAUCUUAUUGCAUUUUCUAUCAUCUCUUCAGACAUUACUAUGUCUGAGAAGCUCUUAGUAGCGCUUCCCAACAUGUGGUUAAUGAAUAGGGCCUUUAGGGUAUUGAUAAAAAGCAUGGUCGUUUCUUUUUCCAAGAGAGGUGGUUGGACUUGCAUUGCUAUCUCCCUCCAUCGUUAGGCAUACUGCCUGAAGCUCUCACUUGACUUCUUUUCCAUGUUUUGCAAUGUAAUUCUGUCGGGUGUUAUAUCCGUCAUGUGACCGUAUUCUUUCAUGAAAGCUUGAUCCAAGUCCUUCCACGAACCAAUUUGGGCACGGCUUAGAUAGUUAUACCACUUGGCCGUAGACCCGACCAAACUGUCUUGGAAGCAGUGGAUCAACAAUUGAUCAUUGUGAACAUACCCUGCCAUCAUUCGACAGAACAUGGUGAUGUGAGCUUCCGGACAGCUAGUUCCAUUGUAUUUUUCAAAAUCUAAGGUUUUAAACAUAGAAGGGAGUACUAAAUCUGGGACCAAACUUAGGUCUUUGGCGUCUAUUCCACAAUGGUACUCAGAAUUCUCCAUUGCUCUGAGUUUCUCUUCCAGCCAUUAGUAUCGAUCAUUCAGUUGUUUUGGUAGUUCCACUCUUAUUUUCUCUACCUCUGCCACAUUAUCAAGAUCAGGAACAAGGGGAUUGGUUGAGUUAUCCCCAGGAUUGGAACCCGAGCCUAUUUGAUAGUUUAUCAGAGCUAAAGUAUCGAUUUGAUGCUGUUGAGGCCUGAUAGUAACGGGUACCCUUCAUGGGUACACUUCUAGUGGUGUCUGGACGUUGAUUGGAGUAAAGACUGGGAGGUAGAUAGGAUCCUCAUUUUCGUUCGCAGUACUCUUCCCUUUUUCACGUUCUCUGACCAGCAACUGCGCCAAUUGGCUCAUCAUAUUAUUUUGGGACUCUUGCAUUUGUUCCCUCAUAUCUUGUUGUAUUUUAGCUAACUGCUCUUACAUCUGCGCUUGUAAUUGCUCUUGCAUAUCCUUUUGCAUUUAUUCUAGUCUUUCUAACCUCUGAUCCAUCUCUUUAGUUUUAUGACGGGUAUUGUAGCGGUAUUCGAUUGGUCGACUCUUAUUGGUUUCCAAAUUAACUGAAAUAAUUUUUUUUAAUUAAGGCCUUUUCGUGAAAUUUAAUACAUAUGAUUAAAUGUAAUGCAAAUGAAUGAAUGCAAAAAGAGGCAUUGAUUCUGAUUCAAUUUCAUUAGAAGAACUUUACUAGAAGAACUUUACUAGAAGAACUUUACUAGAAGAAAAAUUUCUUUACAUAGAACGGAUGAUUACAUAUACGACUUUUCCCUAAUGUCCAAAGCCUUAACUUUUCUAAGGAGCCAAGCAAAGUUUCGACCUCGAUUUGAUUCUGACCCGUACUUUAAGCUUAAUACAUCAGCCUGAACUUCCAAGUCUUGCAAAUGAUCGGCUACCUCACGAACUUGAGCUACAGCCUCGCCCAUGACAUAAUCUCUAUUUCUAAUCUGAUCUUGAGAGCGGAGAAGUUGUUCUUUGCAAUGCUCAUUGUUUGCCUUAAGGAGUUCCACUCGAAUUUUACUGUCUCGUAGUACAGUCUCAAGUUUCCCUAUUUCCUCUUUUAACCCCUCGAUCUUGCUUAGACUGGUCUUUAACUCAAUCACGGAGUUACUGCUACGAUGAUAAUGCAGUGAUUUUUCUAAUUCGGCCACCCGAGCUCGUAACCUUUCUUUUUCUCUUUGGCUUUCCAACAAAAUCUUUUUCAAAGUAUCCUCUUGAAACUUCUUCUCCCAAUGAUCGACUCUAGUCUUUUUCUUUUCAAUUUCUUGACACCAUUGCUCUGACGUUUUACCUAAACCGACAGUUCUUAUCGACAUACGCAGCUUCUUAUAAUCAGUCUUUAGACUAUCCAAGUCCUCAUCGGCUUUGUUCUUCCCUUUCCUUAGCUUCUUGGCCUAUAGCUUAUGGAUGUCGACGUCUAAUCCUAGCCGCAUCUUUUCCUCCUCUAAUUGCUCUAUCUUUUUUCCCAAUUCCGAGCUCCUUUUCUCGAAGUCUUACUUGAUGAUCUCUAACUCAAACGGGACUACUUGUAAAUGCUCUUCUAUCGGUCGAGUGUUCCCUUGAUUCAGCCUAAGGAUAUUGUCAUUGACUCUUCUACCCCACCACCAUUCAUACUCGGAGGUUGUUAUCGGGCCCGUGGUGAAUCCUUUCAUUCUUCGGGUUUGGUUCCAAGCAUUUAAUAUCUCAUAAACCUUCUUCUUAUAAUUGUUGUCUUUAUAAGAGAACUCACAUUGAGCUAACCCUUGUUUUGCUGGUAUAAACUUUCUUAAUCGAUACUGCCUUAACACAAGUAGUGGAACGUAUCCAACGACUCCUCAUAUUCCACCUAGAGGAACCCAGUCAAAAUUGCCGCACUGAUAUAAGAUUUCGCCAGGGAUCAACCAUGGAGCCCUCUAUUCAACAUCUUCGCCUUGCAAACUCUGGAAAAUAGCUAUCAUUUUUCUUCUGAGAUAUCGUCUCGUCUUGGUGUAGCGACUAAUUCUCUUAAUAGGGAAUAGUCCUUGGAGAAAACUCGAUAGGAGACAUUUUCUACUUUCCAAAAGUGGCUGUGGAACCAAGCCAACAAUAACUGCGCACAUCCUACGAAUCUUCCUUCGCCCGCCCUCCGACAUGCGUUCAAGGAUCUGAAGGUUUCUACUAGGAUUGCCAGGACGGGUGUGGUCCUUUUAUCAAGUCUGUCGAAUAAAUCUGAGACGGCCUCAUCUACAUGUCCUAAUGCCUUGGGAAAGACGAUCAAACCGUAGAGGCUCAAGGCGAAAACGUCAACCCUCUUCUUCAUAUCCGGGUGUGCCAGGAUCAAGUCCCUCAAAUUCUUCCAAAGAAUACACUUACUAUCCCCUUUCUGCUUGAUCCGGGAUGCAACCCAUUGUUCACUCAUCCCCGUGAUAUUCAUCAAUUUCUUCAAAAAGGGCGGGACAUUAACAGGUCUUGAAUAGGCCCUGUCGGCUUGAAUCUUUGGGCAAUUAUGUAAAGCCAUGUAUUCCUCCACAGUAGGUACCAAAUCAACUCUCCCAAAAGUGAAGCAACUGUAGGCGGGGUUCCAAAAUUGGGUGAGAGCUCGGAAUAAGCGUUUGUCCAUUUUCACCUCGAGUAAAUAAGCGUUUUGGCCUAACCCGAUCCGACCCGACCCGUCUUACCCUAGGAUCUGCGUGUUUUUUGUUUGAUGGUCUAAUUUCGCGAUUGGCCCAUUCCGCCUUUUCAUGUUUUUGCAAUUGAGUUUUUAAUAUUUCCUAAUUAGGCCCCGAAAUUUGACGCACUUUGUGAUCUAGUCCUCUGCCAUGCGCUGCGUUUUAGGAGGAGAGAAUAUUGCGCUUUUGGUCCCCUAGAGUUUCCCGCGUGUUCAUUUUGGUCCUUUGCCCUUUAUUUCUUUUUAAAUUUGCCCCAAAAUUCUGUUCUUAGUUCGAUUUAGUCCUUUUUCGUUUAUUUUCAUUUUUUUACAUAUUAUUAAUAUUAUUACUAUUAUUUUAUUUCUAUUAUUAUCUUUAUUAUUACUGUUAGUAUUAUUUUCAUUACUAUUAUUUUUAUUAACAUAUUAAUUAUUUUCUAACGUAUUAUUAUUACUAAUUAUUAUUAUUUCUAGUUUUAUUAUUAUUAUUAAUAUUAGGGUAUGUAUAUUAUAUAUGUAUGUAUAUAUAUUUACAUAUAGUACUAUUUUAAUUACUUUAUUUUAAUAUUACUAUUAUAUUAUAUUUGCUUUUUUAUAUACUUCAUUAUUAUUUCUAAUAUUAUUAUUAUUAUUAGUCGUUAUUUAUUUCUAAUAUGUAUAUAUUAUGUAAAUGUUUAAAUAUUAUAUUUUAUAUAUUCUUCAUGUAUGUUAUGUAUAUAUAUUUUCAAUAUUAUAUAUUUUAUAUAUUAUUAUAUAUAUUUUAAUAUUAUUAGUUAUAUAUUUUUUAUACUAUUAUGUGUAUAUUUCUAAUAUUAUAUUGUAUAUUUCUAAUACUAUUAUUUAUAUAUAUAUGUGUGUGUGUAGAUACUUGUGUAGUGUACAAAGUAGUUUUUUAUUAUUAUUAUCAUUUCUAAGGUAUGUAUAUAUUGUAUAUAUUUUAUAUAUGUUAUGUAUAUAUUUUUAAUAUUACUAAUUAUAUAUAUUUCUUAUACAUUUCCAUGUACAUAUUUUUAUACCAUCUUAUGUAUAUAUUUUUAAAUACUAUAUUGUAUAUAUAUUCUUAAUACCAUAUCGUGUAUAUAUCAUUAUUACAUUUAUUUUACUCCUACUAUGUUUGUUAUUAAUAUCAAGACAUAUAUUUUAUUAUACUUGUAUGCAUAUUUUAUAUAUAGUAUUAUUUUCGUAUAUCAUUAUAAUUAUUAUACCCAUUAGUUUCACUAUCAUCACUUAUUAUUUUAUAUUACUAUGUAUAUAUUUUUCAUAUACGUCAUGUGCACACAUUUUUCAUAUGUAUACAUGUAUAUAUUAUGUAUAUAUUUUAACAUUAUUAGUUAUAUUCUCACUAUCAAACAUUAUAUAUAGUGUACAUACAUACUCUUAAUAUCAUGUAUCUAUAUUCAUUAUUUCCAUUUCAUAUUUAAUUCUAGUAUCAUAUAUAUCUUUAUUGUUUAUAAUAUUAUUGUCACAUUUAUAUUCGCUUCAAUGUACCUCUAGAUUUGUCUUUUAUUUUUUAUUUAUUAAUUUGCUUUGCAUUACUUCGAAAACCAUAUUCUUGUUUUCUAAUUAAUUUCAAUAAUCAAGGCAACGUACCGAUUUAAUGUUAAGCCAUCGAUUUCAUCGCUAUGUUGGGUGAAUAUCAAUCGACUCGUGUUAAAACGGUAUAUUCUUCUCAAAAGAAAACGAAACUUGAAAUUUCUCGUGUUUUACUCGGUCACGAUUCAAUGUUACUUUGAACUUGCAAUUUUGAAAAUUAAUACAACACUUGUUUAUAAGAUACCAAUUUUGGACGUCGCGAGGGUGCUAAUACCUUCCUUGCGCGUAACCGACUCCCGAACCCUAAAUUUUCUCUGGAUUUUAACGUAGACCUAAACUCAGCCUUUUAUUUGUUUUAAUAAGAGAUCUAAUAGGUGUCCGAUCACACCUAGGGAAAAGGAUCGGUGGCGACUCCCUGUUUAUUUCAAAAAUCAAAUUUCAAAAUUUUUUUUCAAUAAAUCGCCACAAUUAGCGACCAAGCUAAGCUAAAAUUUUUACGUCGCUACAGCUGGCGACUCCACUGGGGACCAUUUUUGAGAGUCGAGUUGAAUUAAACGCGUGUUGUCAAAAUUUUCAAAGUUCCUUGUUCAAAAUGAAUAUUCAAUCAUGAUCCUUAAGUUUUGUUUUCGAAAAAAUCAUACAUACAUAUCUCCUAAUUUGUUUUAUCUUUCAUUUUUCAGCUUUAAGUUUUAUGGUUUUAGUUUUGUAGUUUUAAAAUAAAUGAAAGGUUUGCAAGUUUCUCCCCACGCACCGUGCACAUGCAUUUUUGUUGCAUAACAUGAGCUCUAUACCCGGGCUCUAUCCUUAUUAAGUGAAAGUAAAUGCUACGCCUUCGUGAGUUAACUCGUUCCUCCGCACAGGCUAGUGAAUACUUUCGGGUUACAUAUGACUUAUGCUUUCGUGAGUUAACUCGUCCCUCCGCAUAGGCAUAAGUAAAUGUAAUCGCUCGAAUUGAUCUCGUAAGCCUAUGAUGGACCAUGACCGAGGCUCUGUACUAAUCUUAGUAGAUGACAGUAUAGACGAUUCGAGUACCCAUCUAGAACCAAAACUGCAUGUAGUAAACCAUACGAGCCAUCCAACUAGAGCCGUGCCAAAACUCCAUCCGUUUACUAGUCACUGAAAUAAGUACACGGGAAAAACACAUCUUACCUUCUAUUUCUUUUACAUUUGCGCUUUCUAUGCAAGGGAAUCGAGUCCAUUGGACCAAGUAGCUUAAUUUAUUAGAUUGUCCACAGUUUUUCUCUGUUCAUAUGUGUUGUGCUAACCAAGUUUGUUUCUUUUUAUUCUUAUUUUACAUCAUGCAUUAUAGGCAUCAUAUUAGGAAGGUGUUGACUAGAGAUCGGUUGCCAAAAAAUGGGUUUGUAAUGGAAGAGUCAAUUAUACAAACAACCAAGAAGAAUGCCGCGGUUUGAGAUUGGUCUCUAAAGACUCAGAAAGAAAGAGGGGAUAGUCUAGUGGAGGGAUGCAUUGCCAAUUUACCCGAGCACGUAACUGUGAAUAUUCGCCAGAAUAACCUUGAAGAUUUGGUUCGGGUUUGGAAUCAGUGGGACUUGGACACUAGGGGUAUCUUCACUGAAAGAUAUGGGGACAUAGCCGACUUGAUUACUGUCAACGUAGACGAACGAUUGAUCCAAACCAUGGUCAGAUUUUGGGAUCCAGCCUACCAAUGUUUUACUUUCAAUCAGGAAGACAUGACCCCGACUAUAGAAGAGUACGCUGCUUUACUUCGUGUCGAAAACGUACAACCCUAUAAGAUAUAUGUGAAAGAACCUAAGCCAAUGACCUUCAAGAAAAAGUUAGUAAGAUUGACAGACGUGACUGACACGUGGGUCAAAAAACAGAUAAAGAAGAAGAAUGAAACCAUUUGCAUCCCAUGGUCUUCCCUACGAGACUUUGUUCUGAACCAUCCCGACAUGUUGAAAAGGGUAAAUCUGUUCGCUCUGGUCAUUUACGGUUUGAUCAUUUUCCCAAAGGUCCUUGGAUACAUAGAAGUUGCGGUGGUAGAUUUCUUCGAAAGAUUAAAACAAGGAAUCAACCCCGUCCCAACUAUCCUGGCCGAAACCUUCAGAUCAUUAAGUAGCUGUAAGAAGAAAGGGGAAGGUCGUUUUAUCGGAUGCGCGCAGUUACUCAAUGUUUGGAUUCUGAGCCACUUCUGGAAAAUAGAGCGUACACUAUUCCAUAUGUUUUCUAAAACAUUCUCCCCGUUAGAAGCUUAUCUCAAGAAAGAAUGGCCGAAGGAGGUCCCCGAACGAUAUUGGGUCUCAGUCUUUCAGAAUCUUCGCGCUGAUGACGUAACUUGGAGAGCCCCGUGGAUAUGCCCGUCAGUUCUGCUAUACAAGGUCGGGGAUCAAGAUUGGGUGCCACUACUCGGGUUAUGGGGAGGAGUUGGAUAUGCUCCGUUAAUGCUCCAAAGGUAAUUUUCUUCAUGAUAAUUCGUACCCGCCACCGGAGGAUUAGCACAAUCAGAGUUUGCUUUUGCGGGUGAAGGAUAUAUGAAGAGGGUCCGAGAUAUUGCAAAGUCUUGGAAGAGAAUUCAUCACAUAGAAUUAGCUCUAUAUGCUGAUACGUUCACCCAAGAUUACGACAUAUGGAGAAAGCAACGGGUGAACAGCCAGCAAAUCUCGUCGACAAAUUACACCAUCCAGAAUCCUUUCUCGGCAGAAGUGCCAUCCGAGCUAGAAAUAGCAAGACAGGAUUUUUGAGCGCGAAAGGUCAAAAUGUUGCGGGACAUUAGUAUUCUUCAAGAAGAAAAUUACCAGUUGAAGAUCGACGUCCAGAUCGAAAGGUCUAAAAUCGAAAAAGUACAAAAAGAAGUUGAAGUCGUAAGAAAUGACUUAAGGGACCUUCAUCUGGAAAAUAAAAAGUUAAGAGUCACUAUCAAGAAUAGUGGGUUGGGUAAGUCAUCAACAGAAUGGAGAGAAGAAUUAAACAAUGCUAAAGGCGGGAUGGAAUUUUGGAAAAAGAUGGCAGAGAAGGAGGAGGAAAAGGCUGCACGGGUUAUGAUAAAAUUGAGAAAGAAAAACGCUGAACACGAAGCUAUGUCUACCAAAUGGACAACUAGUCAAUCUGAACGUCAAAGCUUAAGAGAAAGAGUACGGGAUCUAGAAGAUGCGUUGCGAGCUCGUCAGCAACAAUUGGAUGCUCUCUUAAAAGCCUUGGAAGAAAAGAAUGAUCAAUAUGAUAGAGACACUCACGCUUAUAAAACAGACCUCCAAGAAAGAGAAAUGCAACUUGGCUUUUUGAUCAACAAAAUCCGUGAAGCGGCUGUGCACAUGGUACAACUAUCAGAUGAAGCAGACGAUCUCAGUUGCCAAUUCUCGCCGAGCCAACAAUCGAGCAUAUCAGAGUUCUUGGAGCGAGUAAAGAAAUAUAGCGAUAUAGCUAGGAAAUUUGUGUAAUGGCCGAAUUAAAAAUGGCGAAAUGUUUUGUGAUGAACUCUUUCGAUGAAUGAAAUGCCUAAUAGGGACUAUCUCGAGAUCAACACCAAUUUCUCGCAUUUCUUUCAUGUCUGACAUUCAUUCAACAUUUUUUCAUUCAUUCAUUGCAUAUACAUAUCCCAUAAUCAUUCGCUAAGGUUAGAAACAUAUAAUUUGCAGUUGCAACACUUCAAAUCUGGAACCACGCCAUUCGUAUAAAACGCGUCGACAAGCUAGAGUAAUGGAGGCUGAGUUCAAUGAAAGAAUCGAAAGGAUGGAAAGAAUCCAGAGGGAAUUACAAGAACAACUGGUUAAGUCACAGCAAGAAACGAGGGAUUUGAUAGUAAGAUCUCGAGAGGAAUCACUUGAACAUAAGGAUCAAAUGGCUAGAAUGAUGGAGAUGAUGUCGGUUUUGAUCAAAGAAAAAGGACCCAUGCAGAACCCCGACAGUAUGGAACCUCAAUCAAGAAUUAAUCAUGACCAGGAUCCACUCUAUCCCCUAGGAUUCACUCCACCGCAUACCCACGUAGCACAAAGAGGGUAUACUCAAGGGGAAUCCACAGGCUUGGAACAACGACCUAUGCCAUUUGCUCAUCUAGGGCAAGGAACAUUUAUGUCAAAUCCCGGAGCAACCCCUACCAAUCCUGUAGUUCUAGAUUUAGAUGAUCCGGCUGAAGUAGCCAAGUUGAAAAUAGAUGAUCACGAGGCUCAAGAGAAGUAUAGGAGUUUGGAAGAAAGACUCAAGGCAAUAGAAGGCACUGAAGCCUUCUCGGUACUAGGUGCUAAAGAACUCAGUUUGGUACCUGAUCUAAUUCUGCCUCCGAAGUUUAAGGUGCCAGACUUCGAAAAAUACGAUGGGACAAGAUGUCCAAAAGCAUAUCUUGUCAUGUUUUGCCAAAAAUGACCGGUUACGUGAACAAAGAUAAGCUACUUGUACAUUGUUUUCAAGAUAGUCUGGUAGGAUCGGCUCUUCGGUGGUACAACCAGCUCAGUAAGGACAGGAUCCGAUCCUGGAAAGACUUGGCGUUGGCAUUCUGUGAGCAGUACAAGCAUGUAUCAGAUAUGGUGCCUGAUCGGAUGACUUUACAAAUGAUGGAGAAAAAGCCAUCAGAAACUUUUAGACAGUAUGCGCAGAGAUGGAGGGACGUCUCAGCCCAAGUGGAACCCUCACUGACGAAAAUAGAGAUAACCGUCAUUUUUAUUAACACCUUAAAGACGCCGUUUUAUGACAAACUAGUGGGAAGCGCCACGAAGGACUUCGCGGACAUUGUAAUAUCCGGUGAGCUUACAGAACGCCGUCAAGAGCGGUAGAAUGGAAGGUCAAGAAAGUUCAAAAAGGGUAGCGCCCAUGAAGAAGAAAGAACCAGAAGCCCACAUAGUGGGAAUGGGAAGCCGUUAUACCCCUAAUCCAUAUCCAAACUAACCCCAACCUCAAAAUUAUCCACCUCCGAAUUUUUAUUAUCCUCCUCAAACCCCUUACUACCAAACACCGCCUCCUUACUCUUCUUACCCUGUUUACGCCACAAGUAACCCAAGACCAAUCGCCACAUUCCCAGAAAAUACAAUAGUCGCCCAAGGCCAACCCAAAAACGAGCAGAGGCCAGCAAAACCCAAUUCCGAGAGACCACAAUUUACCCCUAUUCCUGUGCCAUAUGGGGAACUGUACCCAAAACUUUUGGAGAAGCAAUUGAUAUCCCCGCAUUAUAUGGCACCCUUGAGGCCCCCAUACCCGAAAUGGUACGACCCAAAUGCUAGUUGCGUGUACCACGCCGGGAACCAGGGACACUCUACGGAAAACUGCCUUGCCUUCAAAAGGAGAGUUCAAGGACUCAUCGAUGCAGGUAUUCUGCAAUUUGAUGGUACUGACGGUACAACCGAGAACCCAUUCCCUAACCAUAUCGAAGGAAAUGUGAGCACAGUGAGGAAAGAAGAUAAAUGGCAAGUCAGAAGAUGUGUUUCAGAAAUAAGGACGGCUCUGCAGAAAAUCUGGGAGGCACUAGUUAAGAAGGGACUGCUCUGUCGCCUCGACGACAAUCUCAGAAAAGAAUGUCAGGUUUUUUAUGAUUUUCAUGGAAUUGUAGGGCAUGACAUUCAAUCAUGUGAAGAAUUUAAAAGGUUAUUGCAAGACCGGAUAGAUAAUAAGGAGAUUGAGAUCAUUAAUGAAAUAUGGGCCAAUGAGAGAGAAGUAUGUGCUUCUGACAAUCAAUCGUCAAGUUUUCCGUAUAGCACCGAUCGACCAUUCGUAAUUUAUUACGAUGCAAGGAAUGAACUGGUGAAACCAAAAAUGAUAAUUGAAGUACCAUCUCCUUUCCCCUACAAGGAUAAUAAAGCAGUACCAUGGAAAUACGAAGAAAAUCCAAAGCUGUAACUGGAAACGUUGGAGAAGUAGGUCAUUUCACUCGCAGUGGGGGAUGUUAUUCGAAAGAAGUUGAACCAGUGAAGAAGAAUAGUGAUUUGAAACAAAAAGGAAAGGCACCAAUGUUUGAGGCUGAAACUAAGAACGAAACUCCGCCUGAGCAACAAAAAACUAAAGAGUCGGUAGAUGAGGAAGAAGCACGGGAAUUCUUAAAGUUUAUCAAACAUAGUGAGUACAACGUGGUAGAACAAUUGAGUAAGUAGCCAGCGCGAAUCUCGGUAUUAUCUCUGCUGUUGAAUUCAGAACCACACCGGAACGCUCUGCUGAAAGUGUUAAAUCAAGCUUAUGUGGCAAACAAUGUAUCCGUUGAAAAACUGGAUAGAUGGAUGAACAACUUGAAUGCGGAUAAUUUUAUUUCUUUUAGUGAUGAUGAAAUACCGCCCAAUGGUAGAGGCUCAGUGAAAGCAUUGCAUAUCACAACCCGUUGUAAGGUCUAUAUAAUACCGAACGUGCUCAUCGACAAUGGAUCAUCACUCAAUGUCAUGUCUUUGGCCACACUUUCCAGGAUUCCGAUGGAUUUGUCCUAUCUAAGGCCCUGCCAUUCUACAGUAAGGGCAUUUGAUAGAACAAGAUGAGAGUUCAUGGGAAAAAUCGAGAUCCCUCUAGAAGUGGGUCCCUACAUAUACGAUAUCGAGUUCCAAGUCAUGGACAUUACACCAUCAUAUAACUGUCUUUUAGGAAAACCCUAGAUCCAUUCCGCUGGAGCAGUCCCAUCAUCCCUUCAUCAAAAGGUGAAAUUUAUCAUGGAUGGUUGUUUGGUCACUGUCGAGGGAGAAGAAGACAUUGUCGCAUCUAUCUCUGCUGAUGCGUCAUACCUCGAAGUAAGCAAAGACGCAAUAGAAUGGUCCUUCCGAUCCCUUGAAUUUGUCAAUGCAACAUUCGUCGCUGAGGGAAACAGAAUUCCCAAGCCAAAAUUGUUGAGAAAUACCAAGAUGGGUGUCAAGUUAACUGUAGGAAAGGGAGCCCGAGCAAGGAAAGGUUUGGGAAGGUACCUGCAAGGAAUAGUCAGGGCUCUAAAGCCAGUGCACCACAUGGCCCGAUAUGGUUUGGGGUUCCAACUGGACAUGCGUCAAAGAAGAAAACAGCGGAAGAAGGAUCAGGAGAGAAGGAUUGCGAGAACUUUGGGCCGAGAAGUAGAAUGGGAGCCCAUAACGUACUCUCAUUUGUUGAAAACAUUUACGUCUACGGAAAUGAUAUACCCGGGGCAGGAUCAUGCACAAGGCACAAUUUUAAUGAUCGAAAAGGGUUUUCAGAAUAUCAGUAUAAAUGUCAUUGACAAAGGAGCUAAUGCAAGUAAAGACGUCCCAAGGAUACGCCCUUGUCCCCUGGGUUUCAGGUUGAACAAUUGGACUACCGAAGACCUUCUUGUAGUUUAUAAGUCUUCAGAGUAAUGCUCAAACAUUAACAUUCUAUUAUGUUCUUAGAUAUAAUAGAGUUCUUUUGUAAGAGCCUGCAUUCGCUCUUUAUCAUUCAAAUGAAUAUCAAUGAAGAUGCAUUUUGUCAUAAUCUUUCACAUUAUCACUAAUUUCAUAAUCAUUUUCUCCUUUCAUAGCCAAUCCUUACAUUUGCCUCAUGCCAUGCCAUAACAUUUCGUUUGUUGGUUCCAAUACUUGGAUGCCCCUCUAUAGUUUCCUUUUCCAUUCAAAUUUCAGGUGCUCAGAUGUCAACAGCAUAAACAAACCUGUUACGAGUCCUGAAAUCUUUUUUGAAAAGGUUGUUUGUUUAGGAGAAUUCGAAGCCGAAGAAAAUGCUGAAGACUAUGUCUCGUCUCUUGACUUGCUAAGAAUGGUGGAACAAGAGGAUAAACAAAUUUUGCCUCAUCAAGAAUCUGUUGAAACAAUAAAUCUGGGAACUGAAGAAAGGAAGCAAGAAGUAAAGAUUGGAACUUCUAUUUCAGGGGGCACCAGGCAUAAUUUGAUUGCUUUGCUCCGCGAGUACAAAGAUGUAUUCGCAUGGUCAUAUCAGGACAUGCCAGGAUUGGAUGAAGAUGUAGCGGUCCGUAAGCUCCCAUUAAAGCCAAAAUGCAAGCCCAUUCAACAAAAUGCAAGUCCAUUCAACAAAAGGCAAAAGUCAAGAGUCAAGAAGCAAUUUGGUGCUAGUUUCCUACAAGCUUCCAAAUACUGUUGCGCUUUGGUUUGGGUAGCUCGAAGACUUAGGCAAUACAUGUUGUAUCAUACGACAUGGUUAAUUUCAAAGCUAAAUCCAAUAAAGCACAUGAUGGAAUCACCUGCACUCUCAGGAAGAAUGGCACGGUGGCAGAUCUUACUAUCAGAGUACGACAUCACCUAUGUGAGUCAAAAGUCAAUAAAAGGAAGCGCAAUAGCUGACUUCUUAGCAACCCGAACAAUGGAUGAAUAUGAGCCAUUGAGAUCUGAUUUCCCGGAUGAAGAUUUGAUGUGCAUUACAGAAAAAGAGGGUGAGUCAUCAAAAAAGAAGUCAUGGAAGAUGAGCUUUGAUGGUACAUCAAACACAUUGGGGCAUGGGAUUGGAGCAGUCUUAGUAUCACUAGAAGGGAACCAUUACCCACUCACUGUUAGGCUGAAUUUCUUCUGUACCAAUAACAUAGCGGAAUAUGAGGCAUGUAUCAUGGGACUUCGUGCAGCUAUUGAACGAAACAUCAAAACUUUAGAGGUAUACGGAGACUCAGCCUUGGUGAUUUACCAAAUCCGUAGAGAUUGGGAAGUGAGAGACUCGAAACUGGUUAAAUACAGUGAUCUAGUGGCAGAGUUGAUUAAAGAAUUCGAAGAAAUAACUUUUAAUUACCUCCCACGAGAAGGAAACCAAUUGGCUGAUGCCCUGGCCACUUUGGCUUCAAUGUUCAUAGCAAACAGAGAAACAGAAAUAAUGCCACUUCAAAUGAGCAUAUAUGAAGUCCCUCCACAUUGUUUCAGCAUUGAAAAAGAGCCAAAUGGACGGCCAUGGUUCCAUGAUGUCUUAGAAUAUAUCAAGAAUCGAAAGUAUCCCGAACAAGCAAACGAAAAUGACAAAAGAACAAUCAGAAGAAUGGCAGCGGGAUUCGUUCUUGAUGGGGACAUCCUGUACAAAAGAGGAAAAGAUCAGGUGCUCUUGAGAUGCAUAGAUGCUGUUGAAGCCAGAAAAAUACUUAAGGAUGUCUAUGAGGGAAUUUGCGGGACACAUGCCAAUGGUUUCACUAUGGCCAGGAAGAUUAUGAGACUCGGAUAUUACUGGCUGACGAUGGAAAGCGACUGCAUUAAUUUCGCACGAAAAUGCCACAAAUGUCAAUUUUUUGGUGAUAAAAUUCAUGUAGCCCAUUUGCCCCUUCACGUCAUGACUUUUCCGUGGCCUUUUUCUAUGUGGGGCAUGGAUGUUAUAGGGCCAAUUUCCCCAAAAGCUUCUAAUGGACACCGAUUCAUUUUUGUGGUUAUUGAUUACUUCACAAAAUGGAUAGAAGCCACAUCAUUUGCCAAUGUGACGAAGACUGCAGUUUGCAGGUUUUUGAAAAAGGAAAUCAUUUGUCGAUAUGGUUUGCCUGAAAGAAUCAUUUCAGAUAACGCCUUGAAUUUGAACAACAAGAUGAUGAAAGAAGUGUGUGAGAAAUUCCAAAUAAAGCAUUAUAACUCCUCACCCUAUCGCCCAAAGAUGAACGGAGCUAUUGAAGCAGCCAAUAAGAAUAUUAAAAAGAUUAUUGGGAAAAUGACCAAGACAUAUAAAGACUGGCACGAGAAGCUACCAUUUGCUUUGUAUGCAUAUCGUACAUUUGUACGGACAUCUACGGGAGCAACUCCUUUCUCUCAGGUCUAUGGAAUGGAAGCUGUGCUACCCAUCGAAGUUGAGAUCCCCUCUCUACGAGUCUUAAUGGAAUCAAAACUAGAAGAAGCAGAAUGGGUUCGAGCUCGAUAUGACCAGUUAAACCUUAUUGAAGAAAAACAUCUGAAGGUAGUCUGCCAUGGACAGAUGUACCAGAAGAGAAUGAUCGCAGCCCAUGACAAGAAAAUACGGCCAAGAGAAUUCCACAAAGGAGAACUCGUGCUGAGAAAGAUUCUCCCAAUACAAAAAGACUUCCAAGGAAAAUGGGCGCCAAAUUGGGAAGGUCCAUACGUCGUAAAGAAGGCAUUCUCAGGCGGAGCUUUGAUUCUCACCGAGAUGGAUGGGAAGGAGUUACCGGAUCCAAUGAACUCAGAUGCUGUAAAGAAAUAUUAUGCUUGAAAAAGGAAACCAAGAUGAAAACCCGAAAAUGGCAUCUUAAAAAAAAAGAAAGAGAAAAAAGUGUGAUCAAGGUAAAAACCCGAAAAGGGCAUCUUGAUUAAACACAAAAGAUUAUGAUGAAAACCCGAAAGGGCAUUCUAAUGAAGCAAACCCGGGCUUAAAGAACAAGGCGUUUUGAACGAUGGGUCAAAUAGUGAGACUACAGUAUUUGAAGCAUUUCUGAAAGCUCGAAAUCUUCUACGCAAGAAGCCAUGCUCGAAAAGGUUCUUGAUUGAGGAAUGGGAAAGAGUACAUGCAUUGAAUAUCUAGAGCAUUUGUAUUCGUUGAAUGCAAUCCCUUUUCUCUUUAUGACACUCUUUUACUAUUGUUGGUUAACUUUCUUUGUUUGCUACAUUUGAAAUGAAUAAUUGUGAGGUAUCCUUUUGUCCCUACCUGACCAUUUUCAUACAUCUCAUUAUGUGAUUCAAUUACAUGAUAAAUAGUGAAAUGACAUACUCUAAACAAAAGAAAUGUUAAGCAUUACCCGGGUAAGAAUUUAAUAAGUACAAGAAUCUCAAAGUAAGGACAAAGUUCAACCUGGGGUAAAAGAGUGAUAUUUGAGAAACAUUGAUUACUCGUGAAACUUGAGGACGGGUACAGGGCCUAAAGAGGAAGUCAGGAGCCGAAGUAAUGAAUGCAGAUCAUCACGAAAAUCGUGACGAAAAAGGAAUAUAUGACAAACAUGCCUAAAGCUCAUAGCAUAAUCAUGUAGGCAUAAAAUCAUUUAUAACAAACAUGUGCAUAUCAUGCAUGACAUAUACAGGUACUCCAGUAGAGCAAGAGGAUGUGAUGAUAGCUAAAAAGACACAUGAGUUUCUCCAGAUGACAUGUUUUGGUAUUCUGAUGUUUUAUUUCUGUUUCAAAAUUCAACUCAUACUGCGAGGGGUGAGUUGAGCCUCAAGACAUGCUGAGGUAUUUUCGAUUUCUGUUUUUCAAUUUAUGUUUUCAAAAGUCAAUUCAUAUUGCUAUAGGUGAAUUGAGCCUCGGGGCACGCUGAGGUAUUUUCAAUUAUUGUUUGUCAAAAAAUCAAUUCAUAUUGCGAGAGGUGAGUUGAGCCUUGGGACACGUUGAGAUAAUUUUUUUUCUGUUUCAAAAUUCAACUCAUACUGCAAGAAGUGAAUUGAGCCUCAAGACACGUUGAGGUAUUUUCAAUUUCUGUCUUUCAAAAAAUUCAACUCAUACUGCAAGAAGUGAGUUGAGCCUCAAGACACGUUGAGGUAUUUUCAAUUUCUGUCUUUCAAAAUAAUCAACUCAUAUUGCGAGAGGUAAGUUGAGCCUCAGGACACGCUGAGGUAAUUUUGAUCUCCGUUUUUGAAAAUCAACUCAUAUUGCGAGAGGUGAGUGGAACCUCAGAUCACAUGUCGAGGUAUUUUCAAAUUCUGCUUUUCAAAUUAAGUUUCAAAAACCAACUCAUAUUGCGAGAAGUGAGUUGAGCCUUGGCUCACACGCUGAGCUAUUUUCAAUUUCUAUUUUUAAUGUCUGUUUUUUAAAGAGUCAAUUCAUAUUGCGAGAAGUGAGUCGAGCUCAGGAUCACACGCUGAGUAAAGAAUUAAGAUUACAGCUGAUUGAAGACACCAGAUUUUGUCUCCCUGAAGUUGCAGUGGAGUUGAUCGAGGAUAUUAGAUCUUGCCUUUCUAAAGUGGCAGAAGAGAAGACCAAAACCUUAUCUCACUAAAGCGAUAGAAGAGCGGAUUGAAGUUGUAGAUCUUAUCUUUCUGAAGUUACAGUAAAACGGAUCGAAGCCACAAAUCUCAUAUCCUUGAAACUACAUUGGAGUAGAUUGAAGCUACAAGGCCCAUAUCAGAAGAUGCAAUGAAUUGGACCAAAGCUACAAGAUACGGUGGACUAGAGAGAAACUACUUGAACAAGAAGAGUACCAAAGACGUCAAGACUUAGCAAGACUGGGCAAAAUUGGCCUUUAUUUGUGUCUUUGCUCUAUUCCCGUUACACGACAAUGAGCAAAGAGGGGCAGCUGUUGUAGGCCAAUUUUGAGCCCUUUUUACAAAAUACCCACAGCCCAAUUUUAUCCACACUUAAACCUCAACCCAUUUCCUAAUACCCAUCUAAAUUAACCCAAAUAAAACCCAAGUACAACCUAAUUACCCAAACCCCAUAAAGCCCAAAUACAACCCAAUACCAACCUAACCACUACCCAUACCCAAAUUAGCCCAAUAACAAAUAGCCCAAUUCUAACCCUAGCCCAAAACCAAAACUUUCAGCCAAGGGAAACCCUAGGCCGCCGCAUGCUAGGCAUGCCUCUGCCCGAGACCUGGCACCAGCCACUACUACCACCACGCCACUGCUGCCCACCAUGCUUCUCUGACAACGGCCAUACCCUGCAAAAGGAGACAAACACCAAGACAGAAGAAGACGACAAGGAGCAAUGGCAAGAAACUUAAAAAAUGUUGUAUAGAAAUGGCUAUAAAGGCUAGAUCCGAAUGUAAUAGGAGCUCCCUCUUUUUUUUUCCUUUCAUUUUGGCAGUAAGAAAAAACACAAAAACAAGAAGAAAAACAUUCAAUUUCAGAUUCAAUAUAGUGAUUCAAUCAACGUUUAAAUAUAGAAAUAGCAUUCAGGCAUACAAAAACACCAAGAUCAAAGGAUUAAAAGCUUAAAAAACCCUAAGGUGAUUUCUUUUUUUCUUUCUAUUUUAAAUUCGGUUUUAAGCUUUUUUUACCUUUAUAUAUAUAUAUAUAUUAAAACAUAUUAAAAUAUAAAUACAAAAUACAAAAAAAAAGUAAAUUUUUACCUUUUCCGGCCACCGCACGCUGGCGACGGACGGAGGCUGACGAUCGGCCGGUGACCGGCCCCCCUGGCCGGAUUUCCUUCCCCCCUCCCUUCUCUCUUCUUUCUCCCUCAUUUUUUUUCUUUCUCUCCUCAGAAUGAUUUUUUUGUCAAAAAUUGGCCUUAUAUAGCCCUCCAAAACGACGUCGUUUUGGGGCUACCCUUUAGCCCCAAAACGACGUCGUUUUGGCCUAACCCGAUCCGACCCGACCUGUCUUACCCUAGGAUCCGCGUGUUUUUUGUUUGAUGGUCUAAUUUCGCGAUUGGCCCUUUCGCCUUUUCAUGUUUUCGCAAUUGAGUUUUUAAUAUUUCAUAAUUAGGCCCCGAAAUUUGACGCGCUUUGUGAUCUAGUCCUCUGCCAUGUGUUGCGUUUUAGGAGGAGAGAAUAUUGCACUUUUGGUCCCCCAGAGUUUCCCGCGUGUUCAUUUUGGUCCUUUUCCCUUAAUUUCUUUUUAAAUUUGCCCCAAAAUUCUGUUCUUAGUUCGAUUUAGUCCUUUUUCGUUUAUUUUCAUUUUUUUACAUAUUAUUAAUAUUAUUACUAUUAUUUUAUUUCUAUUAUUAUCUUUAUUAUUACUGUUAGUAUUAUUUUCAUUACUAUUAUUUUUAUUAACAUAUUAAUUAUUUUCUAACGUAUUAUUAUUACUAAUUAUUAUUAUAUCUAGUUUUAUUAUUAUUAUUAAUAUUAGUGUAUGUAUUUAUAUAUGUAUGUAUAUAUAUUUACAUAUAGUACUAUUUUAAUUACUUUAUUUUAAUAUUACUGUUAUAUUAUAUUUGCUUUUUUAUAUACUUCAUUAUUAUUUCUAAUAUUAUUAUUAUUAUUAGUCGUUAUUUAUUUCUAAUAUGUAUAUAUUAUGUAAAUGUUUAAAUAUUAUAUUAUAUAUAUUCUUCAUGUAUGUUAUGUAUAUAUGUUUUCAAUAUUAUAUUUUUUAUAUAUUAUUAGUUAUAUAUUUUAAUAUUAUUAGUUAUAUAUUUUUUAUACUAUUAUGUGUAUAUUUCUAAUAUUAUAUUGUAUAUUUUUAAUACUAUUAUUUAUAUAUAUAUGUGUGUGUAUAUAUUUGUGUAGUGUACAAAGUAGUUUUUUAUUAUUAUCAUUUCUAAGGUAUGUAUACAUUGUAUAUGUUUUAUUUAUGCUAUGUAUAUAUUUUUAAUAUUACUAAUUAUAUAUAUUUCUUAUACAUUUCCAUGUACAUAUUUUUAUACCAUCUUAUGUAUAUAUUUUUAAAUACUAUAUUGUAUAUAUAUAUUUUUUUCUUAAUACCAUAUUGUGUAUAUAUCAUUAUUACAUUUAUUUUACUCCUACUAUGUUUGUUAUUUAUAUCGACAUAUAUUUUAUUAUACUUGUAUGCAUAUUUUAUAUAUAGUAUUAUUUUCGUAUAUCAUUAUAAUUAUUAUACCCAUUAGUUUCACUAUCAUCACUUAUUAUUUUAUAUUACUAUGUAUAUAUUUUUCAUAUACGUCAUGUGCACACAUUUUUCAUAUGUAUACAUGUAUAUAUUAUGUAUAUAUUUUAACAUUAUUAGUUAUAUUCUCACUAUCAAACAUUAUAUAUAGUGUACAUACAUACUCUUCAUAUCAUGUAUCUAUAUUCAUUAUUUCCAUUUCAUAUUUAAUUCUAGUAUCAUAUAUAUCUUUAUUGUUUAUAAUAUUAUUGUCACAUUUAUAUUCGCUUCAAUGUACCUCUAGAUUUGUCUUUUAUUUUUUUAUUUAUUAAUUUGCUUUGUAUUACUUCGAAAAUCAUAUUCUUGUUUUCUAAUUAAUUUCAAUAAUCAAGGCAACGUACCGAUUUAACGUUAAGUCAUCGAUUUCAUCGCUAUGUUGGGUGAAUAUCAAUCGACUCGUGUUAAAACGGUAUAUCUUUCUCAAAAGAAAACGAAACUUGAAAUUUCUCGUGUUUUACUCGGUCACGAUUCAAGUUACUUUGAACUUGUAAUUUUGAAAAUUAAGACAACGCUUGUUUAUAAGAUACCAAUUUUGGGCGUCGCGAGGGUGCUAAUACCUUCCUCGCGCGUAACCGACUCCUGAACCCUAAAUUUUCUCUGGAUUUUAACGUAGACCUAAACUCAGCCUUUUAUUUGUUUUAAUAAGAGAUCUAAUAGGUGUCCGAUCACACCUAGGAAAAAGGAUCGGUGGCGACUCCCUGUUUAUUUCAAAAAUCAAAUUUCAAACUUUUUUUUCAAUAAAUCGCCACAAUUAGCGACCAAGCUAAGCUAAAAUUUUUACGUCGCUACAAACGCCUUUUUAUAAUGUAAUGCCAUACAAUAACAGGAAAACACAACAAGUCAGUAUUAUAUAAAGAAUAAUAGAACUCAAAGUAAGCAGAAAAUAAUUAAACACCUAUACGAGUAAUCGCUAGGGUUUGGUGCAGCUCUACCUAAGGCGGGUUUCUACGGCUCAACUAUAUGCGGUUUGUUUUUAAAGUAAAGGUUCCCAAACCAACAGAUUCCUCAAUCUUCACCCAUUAUAGGAUCAUAUAGACCGAGUUUAGUUCAGGGGAAUACAUUUCCCUAUAGCUGCACAGAGAUGAAAAUCUCACGAAGACGUAGGUACGAAUGUAUCCUGAAAGCAAUCAACUAUCCUACACAGAGGUGAAGACCUCACGAAGGAAUAGUUUCUCACUCCUACUUAAGAGGUGUGACUACAACGGUCAUGCAAUGCAAUGUGCGAGGAUAUAUGCAUAAAAAACUUGAAGCGAUAAAGAAAAUGGGAAUAAAAUAAUGAAAACCGUAAGAAAAAUGGGUGAAAUGCAAUGAAGGGAUCGUAAGAUUAAAACAAAUUUUCAAUUUUCGACAAAGGACAAAAAUUAAUCAAUUUAUGGCUCGACUCUCAAGGGUCCCUAGUGGAGUCGCCAAGCUGUUGAAACCAUUUUUUUGAAAAAUGGGAAUCGACUUUGUUUGAAAAUAAAAAUUAAAACGGGAGUCACCAUCGAUCUUUAUUAGGUAUGAUCAGAUCACCUUUGUUUUAAUAAAACAUUUUAGUUUACUAAAAUGGUGUUUUUGGUCUACGAAACUCGAGAGAAUGGGUUCGGGAGUCGGUUACGUACGAGGAAGGAUUAACACCCUCACCACGCCCAAAAUUGGUACCAAAUUGAUUAGUUAGUGUCUUAAUGUCGAAAAUUGGAAAUCGGGAAUUGAUUUAAAAUACGAUCCUUUUUUAUUAACGUCGAUUUUAAAAAUGCUUGAAUUAGAUCAAAACGAUUGCUAAAGAUUUCCUCGUCUUGAGAUAUCAGAGUAUCACAUCCCGUAAGUUAAGACACGAUCUCAUGAACUACUGAGCGCAAGUUUGUCUUUAAUUUUAAUUGGAAUUUCGUGUGCUUUAAAACUCGAAAGGAUAUUUGGCUAUUUAGAAUCAACGAGAAAAUUGAAACCUCGUAAGUUAGGGCACAAUGCCUCGAUGUUCCAAAACGCAAAACAUUGCCUUAUUUAGAAAAUUUUGUUUUGAACCAUAGCGAGUACGAUAUUUAAGCGACGUGUAUUAUUUGUUUGGAUUAAAAUAAAACGAUUUAUUGGAUAAAUGCAACGAGGCUUGAUUCAUGAGGCGAUGAUAUGAAAUAGAAAUAUAGUAAUGAGCCUAGAGCAAGGAUACAUGGACACAACAUUAUACGAAUGAAUAACAAUAAUGCAAAAAUAUGAAAUAAACGAAUUAAAAUACACACAAUAGCAAUAAUCACACAACAUACAUUAUUUAAAUACUAAUCAUUAAUAAUCAAAGACAAAUGAAUUAAAUAACAUAUAAAAAUUUAAAAAAAUUAUAAAGCAAAUUAAAACGAAUAAAACGUAAAACAAAUUUUAAAAUGAUAAGAAAUGAAUUUAAAAUAAAUAAUGUGAAAAAAAAGAAAUUUAAUAUCAACAAUAUACAAAACAAUUUAAAAAUAGAAUAUAUGUAUAAUAAAUUUUAAAAUAGGUAAUAUAGGCGAAAGUUUAAAAUAAAUAAUAUACGGGAAAAGUUUAAAAUGAAUAAUAUGUAAAAUAAUUUAAGAUAAAUAAUAUAUAAAUGAGUUUAAAAUAAAUAUUAUGUAAAAAGAAACUUAAAAUAAGUAAUAUACAAGACAUCUAAGAAAUAACUAGUAUAUAUAUAAAAAAAAUUAGAUAUAAAAAUUUGAAAUUGAUAAUAUAUAUAAAAUUUUAAAGUAAAUAAUAAAACAAUUUAAAAUUAAUAAUGCAUAAAGCGAGUUUAAAAUAAAUAAUGUAAAAGAAUUUUAAAAUCUAUAUUACGCAAAGCAAAUUAAAAAAGGAUUCAUAUGAAUAAUUUUAAAAUAGAUAAUAUAUAUACAUACACAAAAGUGUAAAAUAAAUAAUAUAUAUAAAAACCUAAAGUAAAUAAUAAUAAAACCAUUUUAAAUAAAUAAAAAGAGUUUAAAAUAAGAUAACAAUUUAAAACAAGCAAUAAAACAGUUACACAUAAAAACAAGUUUAGAAAUAUAUAUAAAGCAAUUCAAAGUAUAUAAUAUAUGAAAUAAUUUAGAAUAAUACAUCCAAAACAGUCUAAAACAGUUUAUCAUAUAAAAUUUAAAAUAAAUAAAAUAGUUUAAAUUAAAUGAAAAAAAAAUCAAAGAGUCCAAAUUUACAUGAAAAAGGGGUAGAUUGUAAAUAAAAUGAAACUUUAGGGUCUAAAUUCGAAUAAAAUAAAUGCAAGUAUAUAGAAAGGACUAAAUCAAAAUCUAAAUAAAAUUAAAAGGGGAAAUUCGGAUAAAAAAAAGGUAGAGGACGGAUUUGAAACGUGCUUUAAAACUGAAGGACCGAUUGGGAAAAUAUUCCCCUCCCUUAUACGCUGCGUUUCACUCGUCUGCCUCUUCAAAUGGUCUGAGGGCCAAAUUGAAACAGAGGUAAAAUUAUGCAGUCAAAGUUAAAAAUAAAAGGAAAAUAAAAAGGAUUAAAUUAAAAGAAUCAAAAAUUCGGAAGGACGGCGGACGUAAAUAGCCCAUUUACUGAAAACGCGUGGAUCCCCCUAGGGCGAGUCGGGUUGCGCGGAUCAGAGGCCCAAAACGACGUCGUUUUGGCCUCUAAACCCAAUUACCAAAACGGCGUCGUUUGCUUCUUAUUACUUAAGUCAAUUUUUUUUUUUUAAAAUUCAUUUUUGCGUUUCACUCGUCUGCCUCUUCAGCGACGGAGAAGGGCUCUCUGAAGCCACGGCCACGGGGUUCAGGUAAGUUUCCUCCUCUUUUUACAUUUUUUGUUCAAAAAUGAAAAUAAAAGAACAAAAGGAAAACGAGAUAUGGGAACAAAAAUCAACCUUUUGCUUGUUUUUUCUUUUUCGAUUGCUUAAUGUUCGUAAAAAAUUUACAGAGAAGAAGUUUCAGGCUUUAUUGCCGAAGAUUACAAGAUCCCUUUUUGUUUUUUGCUUAUUGUCUGCUAUUGUUCCUUGUUUUUUUCUUCUUUGUUUCUUGUAUUUUGCGUGUUUGGAUUUGUUUUGCAGGUGGUGUCAGAUGCGCGUGCUGCUAUGGUGGCGUGCGGGAGGCUCUGCGCGAGGUGGCCAAUGGUGAGGAGCGGCGGCUGAAGAGGGAGCUAGGGUUUGCUUGCUGAAAAUUUUGAUAGCUAGUGGGCUAGGAUUUGGGCUGGUUUGGUUGUAUUUUGAGUCUGAAAUGGGUUUUAAAUUGUUGGGCCACACAUAUAUUGUAAAUGGACUAAAAAAAAGAAACUUUUUAAUUGUUUAUUUGAGUUUUAUUUUGUUUUAUUGGCUUGGGCCAAAAUUAGCUAUUACAAUUUUGCCUUACUUUUUUAUUUUUAUUUUGUAGCUAAUUAUUAAAUGACAAUCUUUUGAAGUUUUCGUCGUCAGCAAUUGAAGUGUUUUCGGGUCUUCGGUGACAUAACGGCCUAUAUAAAAAAAUGGAUAUAAAAUUUGCCAUGUUUUAUUUAUUAUUUUAAUAUCUUGCGUUUUCAAUUUAAUUCAACUUUAACAAUUCAAUUUUUAAAUAAGGCUUCGCAUUUUAUUUCUUCCUCACUUUUUAAAAUAUCAAUUUUAGUCCUUCAAAAAUUCUUUUAAACUCUUAAAAUUUUGAAAUUGCAAAAGUGCCCAUCGAAUUCCCUUGUUUCCCAU
rnacentral:lncRNA from 1 species